rnacentral:rRNA from 1 species
UACGAAGGGGGCUAGCGUUGUUCGGAAUUACUGGGCGUAAAGCGCACGUAGGCGGGCUAUUAAGUCAGGGGUGAAAUCCCGGAGCUCAACUCCGGAACUGCCUUUGAUACUGGUAGUCUAGAGAUCGGAAGAGGUUAGUGGAAUUCCCAGUGUAGAGGUGAAAUUCGUAGAUAUUGGGAAGAACACCAGUGGCGAAGGCGGCUAACUGGUCCGAUACUGACGCUGAGGUGCGAAAGCGUGGGGAGCAAACAGG